rnacentral:ncRNA from 1 species
UCGGUCCCGGUUCACGUACGCGCAACACGGCGCGUGCGACCCGGAGCC